rnacentral:rRNA from 1 species
GCCGGAGGCCAUUGCUAUCGGAGUCCGAUUUAGCCAUGCUAGUUGUGCGGGUUUAGACCCGCAGCGGAAAGCUCAGUAACACGUGGCCAAGCUACCCUGUGGACGGGAAUACUCUCGGGAAACUGAGGCUAAUCCCCGAUAACGCUUUGCUCCUGGAAGGGGCAAAGCCGGAAACGCUCCGGCGCCACAGGAUGCGGCUGCGGUCGAUUAGGUAGACGGUGGGGUAACGGCCCACCGUGCCCAUAAUCGGUACGGGUUGUGAGAGCAAGAGCCCGGAGACGGAAUCUGAGACAAGAUUCCGGGCCCUACGGGGCGCAGCAGGCGCGAAACCUUUACACUGUACGAAAGUGCGAUAAGGGGACUCCGAGUGUGAAGGCAUAGAGCCUUCACUUUUGUACACCGUAAGGUGGUGCACGAAUAAGGACUGGGCAAGACCGGUGCCAGCCGCCGCGGUAAUACCGGCAGUCCGAGUGAUGGCCGAUCUUAUUGGGCCUAAAGCGUCCGUAGCUGGCUGAACAAGUCCGUUGGGAAAUCUGUCCGCUUAACGGGCAGGCGUCCAGCGGAAACUGUUCAGCUUGGGACCGGAAGACCUGAGGGGUACGUCUGGGGUAGGAGUGAAAUCCUGUAAUCCUGGACGGACCGCCGGUGGCGAAAGCGCCUCAGGAGAACGGAUCCGACAGUGAGGGACGAAAGCUAGGGUCUCGAACCGGAUUAGAUACCCGGGUAGUCCUAGCUGUAAACGAUGUCCGCUAGGUGUGGCGCAGGCUACGAGCCUGCGCUGUGCCGUAGGGAAGCCGAGAAGCGGACCGCCUGGGAAGUACGUCUGCAAGGAUGAAACUUAAAGGAAUGGCGGGGGAGCACUACAUC